GUGCGGGCACAAAAAACAACGUUUUUUGAACGUUGGCUCUGCCAGCGGCCCCAUAGGGGCGAAUAAAUCACUUUUUGUGAUUUAUGAGUAAUCAUUUACGAC
rnacentral:ncRNA from 1 species